rnacentral:rRNA from 1 species
AUGAACGCUGGCGGCGUGCCUAAUCCGUGCAAGUCGAGCGAACAGACGAGGAGCUUGCUCCUCUGACGUUAGCGGCGGACGGGUGAGUAACACGUGGAUAACCUACCUAUAAGACUGGGAUAACUUCGGGAAACCGGAGCUAAUACCGGAUAAUAUAUUGAACCGCAUGGUUCAAUAGUGAAAGACGGUUUUGCUGUCACUUAUAGAUGGAUCCGCGCCGCAUUAGCUAGUUGGUAAGGUAACGGCUUACCAAGGCAACGAUGCGUAGCCGACCUGAGAGGGUGAUCGGCCACACUGGAACUGAGACACGGUCCAGACUCCUACGGGAGGCAGCAGUAGGGAAUCUUCCGCAAUGGGCGAAAGCCUGACGGAGCAACGCCGCGUGAGUGAUGAAGGUCUUCGGAUCGUAAAACUCUGUUAUUAGGGAAGAACAAAUGUGUAAGUAACUAUGCACGUCUUGACGGUACCUAAUCAGAAAGCCACGGCUAACUACGUG